CGAGUACGACCCGUUACGACGGGGAAGUGUCUGAUGUCAGGCUUCCAAGAAAAGCCCGAACCACGUUAAUUCAAAUUGGCCCGUACCCUAAACCGACACAGGUGGGAAGGUAGAGUAUACCCAGGGGCGCGAGAUAACUCUCUCUAAGGAACUCGGCAAAAUGGCCCCGUAACUUCGGGAGAAGGGGUGCCACCGAGAGGUGGUCGCAGUGAAGAGUCCCAGGCGACUGUUUACCAAAAACACAGGUCUCCGCUAAGUCGCAAGACGAUGUAUGGGGGCUGACGCCUGCCCAGUGCCGGAAGGUUAAGGAAGUUGGUCAGGGAGCAAUCCUGAAGCUAGCGACUGAAGCCCCGGUGAACGGCGGCCGUAACUAUAACGGUCCUAAGGUAGCGAAAUUCCUUGUCGGGUAAGUUCCGACCCGCACGAAAGGCGUAACGAUCUGGGAGCUGUCUCGGAGAGAGGCUCGGCGAAAUAGGAAUGUCUGUGAAGAUACGGACUACCUGCACCCGGACAGAAAGACCCUAUGAAGCUUUACUGUAGCUUGGUAUUGGGUUCGGGCUUUGAUUGCGCAGGAUAGGUGGGAGACUAUGAGAUAGCUCUUGUGGGAGUUAUGGAGUCACUGGUGAGAUACCACUCUAUCAAGGCUAGAAUUCUAACUUUGACCCGUUAUCCGGGCAGAGAACAGUAUCAGGUGGGCAGUUUGACUGGGGCGGUCGCCUCCUAAAUGGUAACGGAGGCGCGCAAAGGUUCCCUCAGGCUGGUUGGAAAUCAGCCAUUGAGUGUAAAGGCAUAAGGGAGCUUGACUGCGAGACUGACAAGUCGAGCAGGUACGAAAGUAGGCCUUAGUGAUCCGACGGUUCCGCGUGGAAGGGCCGUCGCUCAACGGAUAAAAGUUACUCUAGGAUAACAGGCUGAUCUCCCCCAAGAGUUCACAUCGACGGGGAGGUUUGGCACCUCGAUGUCGGCUCAUCGCAACCUGGGGCUGUAGUCGGUCCCAAGGGUUGGGCUGUUCGCCCAUUAAAGCGGUACGUGAGCUGGGUUCAGAACGUCGUGAGACAGUUCGGUCCAUAUCCGGUGCAGGCGUAGGAACAUUGAGAGGAGUCUUCCUUAGUACGAGAGGACCGGGAAGAACGCACCGCUGGUGUACCUGUUAUCGUGCCAACGGUAAACGCAGGGUAGCCAAGUGCGGAGAGGAUAACCGCUGAAAGCAUCUAAGUGGGAAGCCCACCUCAAGAUGAGUGUUCCCAUGGCAAAAGCCAGUAAGGUCACGGGUAGACCACCCGUUAAUAGGCGCUAGAUGGAAGUCCAGCAAUGGAUGUAGUCGAGGCGUACUAACAGACCGAGGGCUU
rnacentral:rRNA from 1 species